UUUCCGUAGGUGAACCUGCGGAAGGAUCAUUACUGAGGGGCUCCGGCCCCGUCAAGAUACCACCCCUUGCAUUUUGAGCACCUCACGUUUCCUCGGCAGGCUCGCCUGCCAAUGGGGACCACUUUAAAACCUUUUAUGUAUGCAGUAAACGUCUACAAAUAAAUGAAAUCAAAACUUUCAACAACGGAUCUCUUGGUUCUGGCAUCGAUGAAGAACGCAGC
rnacentral:misc_RNA from 1 species